ACCUGACGCAGCGACGCCGCGUGGGGGAUGACGGCCUUCGGGUUGUAAACCUCUUUCGCCAGGGACGGAGCUUUUGUGACGGUACCUGGAGAAGAAGCACCGGCCAACUACGUGCCAGCAGCCGCGGUAACACGUAGGGUGCGAGCGUUGUCCGGAAUUAUUGGGCGUAAAGAGCUCGUAGGCGGUGUGUCACGUCGGCCGUGAAAACCUGGGGCUUAACUCUGGGCGUGCGGUCGAUACGGGCAUCACUGGAGUUCGGCAGGGGAGACUGGAAUUCCUGGUGUAGCGGUGAAAUGCGCAGAUAUCAGGAGGAACACCGGUGGCGAAGGCGGGUCUCUGGGCCGAUCUGACGCUGAGGAGCGAAAGCGUGGGGAGCGAACAGGAUUAGAUACCCUGGUAGUCCACGCCGUAACGUUGGGCGCUAGGUGUGGGGACCAUUCCACGGUUUCUGUGCCGCAGCUAACGCAUUAAGCGCCCCGC
rnacentral:rRNA from 1 species